GACGAACGCUGGCGGCGUGCUUAACACAUGCAAGUCGAACGGAAAGGCCCUGCUUGCAGGGUACUCGAGUGGCGAACGGGUGAGUAACACGUGGGUGAUCUGCCCUCCACUUCGGGAUAAGCCUGGUAAACUGGGUCUAAUACCUGAUAGGAGCCAUUUUUAGUGUGAUGGUUGGAAAGUUUUUUCGGUUUAGGAUGAGCUCGCGGCCUAUCAGCUUGUUGGUGGGGUAAUGGCCUACCAAGGCGGCGACGGGUAGCCGGCCUGAGAGGGUGGACGGCCACAUUGGGACCGAGGGACGGCCCAGACUCCUAAGGGAGGGAAGAGUGGGGAAGAUUGAACAAUGGGCGCAAGGCUGGUGCAGAGGCGCCGCGUGGGGGAUGACGGGCUUCGGGGUGUAAAAUCCUUUUGUAAGGGACGAAGCUUUUUGUGACGGUACCUAGAUAAGAAGCACCGGCUAACUACGUG
rnacentral:rRNA from 1 species